GACAACAUGUCCGAGUGGUUAAGGAGCCAGACUUGAAUUGAACUUCUCUAUAUCUGGUGGCUUCGGCCGCGUAGGUUCGAACCCUGCUGUUGUCG
rnacentral:tRNA from 1 species